rnacentral:rRNA from 1 species
AGGGUUUGAUCAUGGCUCAGAAUCAACGCUGGCGGCGUGCCUAACACAUGCAAGUCGAACGCGACUUGGGCUUCGGCUCAAGUUGAGUGGCGAACGGGUGAGUAACACGUGGGUGACCUACCUUCGAGUGGGGGAUAACGUCCCGAAAGGGACGCUAAUACCGCAUAACAUCCUGCCUUUGAACAGGUGGAGAUCAAAGCCGGGGAUCGCAAGACCUGGCGCUUGAUGAGGGGCCCGCGUCCGAUUAGCUAGUUGGUGGGGUAAUGGCCUACCAAGGCGACGAUCGGUAGCCGGCCUGAGAGGGCGGACGGCCACACUGGGACUGAGACACGGCCCAGACUCCUACGGGAGGCAGCAGUGGGGAAUUGUUCGCAAUGGGCGCAAGCCUGACGACGCAACGCCGCGUGGAGGAUGAAGGUCUUGGAUUGUAAACUCCUGUUGCCCGGGACGAAUGGCUCCAACCUAAUACGUUGGAGUGUGACGGUACCGGGUGAGGAAGCCCCGGCUAACUCUGUGCCAGCAGCCGCGGUAAUACAGAGGGGGCAAGCGUUGUUCGGAAUUACUGGGCGUAAAGGGCGCGUAGGCGGCCUGCUAAGUCGAACGUGAAAUCCCUGGGCUCAACCCAGGAACUGCGUCCGAUACUGGUUGGCUUGAAUCCGGGAGAGGGAUGUGGAAUUCCAGGUGUAGCGGUGAAAUGCGUAGAUAUCUGGAGGAACACCGGUGGCGAAGGCGACAUCCUGGACCGGUAUUGACGCUGAGGCGCGAAAGCCAGGGGAGCAAACGGGAUUAGAUACCCAGGUAGUCCUGGCCCUAAACGAUGAAUGCUUGGUGUGGUGGGUAUCGAUCCCUACCAUGCCGAAGCUAACGCAUUAAGCAUUCCGCCUGGGGAGUACGGUCG